rnacentral:misc_RNA from 1 species
GAAAAAAAAAUUUUUCAACACAUGAGAUAAUAUGAAUAAAUGGAAGUUAAAUCAAUAAUGUACAUGACAAGAUAAGAUAAAGUGCUCCGGCACUAAAUAUGGCACGCCUUGCUCGGCUACACUAUAGACAGAUAAGGAGCGUUACAAAGUCUUAUUGGAGAUAGGUGAUUAGAUGUUGUAAAUAGGUGGAAGAGCUACUUAUGAGUAGAAUAUCAUUUAUGUAUAUUAAGUAAAAAGCUUGACAAGUUCCAUUGCUGAAGGAGAAUAAGGAAGAAUCAACACUUGAAGGUCUGAAACCAUUCUCAAUAACAGCUGAAGCAAGGUGCUUAUACAAUUAUCGUGGUGCGUCGCGUAAGCCAUAUAAAGAAUGAUGAAGCUUGCACACAAACGUUGAUUUUUCUGGAUCAACGAAACCUAGGGGCUGCAUCAUACAAAUAGGACUGUCAAUAUUACCAUGUAAAAAUGCGUUUGAAACUUCAAGUUGCUUAAUGUGCCACCCACAAGUCAAGCUUUGUAUCAUUCAACAAACCCAUCUUAAAGGUAUUUCACACAAAUACCCACUUGCAACUGAUGAUAUUUUGUGCUUCUUGAGGUGGAACCAAUUCCCAUGUUCCAGUGGCCAUGAGAGCAUUGAACUCUUAUUCCAUCUCUGCUCGCCAUUGUGUACUUUUUAUAGCUUGUGUACAGCAAGUCGAGACUAAGUUAAAGGAGUGAACUGUAUUGUAAAGCUUAGGUUUGAGGUUCCUAGUUUAGGAUUGGGCAGCCAUGGGGUGCGUUUUGGUUGAUUGAGGUUGGGAAGGUGGAGGAUUGGAACUCAGGUCAACUAUUUAAAAAAAACCAUCGGAGUAAGGAGUGGUAUACAUGGGAGGGGGACAUUAUAGACUUCGUGAUAUUAUGGGAGAUGUAGGUGACGUAUGUUUAGGCGAGAGUGGCAUGGUUAUGAUUGAUUUGUGAAUCAUGGUUAGGUACUUGAAUUUGUGGAGUGAUAACAGGUGUCCCAUUGGAAUGUGUAUGUGGCAUGAGAGAUUGGGAAGUAAGUGGAGUAUUGUCUUGGGUACGUGUAUGACUAUGAGUCAUUACAAGUACAUGUGAAUGGAUAGAAGUGCUUGGUGGUGGACCCAAAAUGCUAGGUUAGGUGUCGUGAAAAGAUGGGAUUGGUGGCAAGGAUAUAUGUGAGGUGGUUGGACCAAUCAAUGGAGAGAUCACUUCCUUAUUCGUAGCACAACUAAAAGGAAAGACUUUUUCAUGAAAAUUAAUGUGAUGUGAGAUGUAGAAUUUUCCACAAGAAUAAUCAUGGUAAUAAUAUCCUUUAUGUAACCAACUAUAUCCUAAGAAAACCGAAGGAAUAUAUUUAGGAGAUAAUUUAUGCACAGAAUAAGGCUUCAACCAUGGAUAACACAAACAACCAAGGACUCGUAACUCAUUAUAAUUUUGCACAGAAUGAAACAAAAUUUCAUAUGGUGCCGAAGGUUUGCUAUGGACAGAUGGAAUAUAAUUCAUUGUAUAGACGGCAACUUCGAAGGCAUAAGUCCAAAAUUUGGUUGGAACAUGAGAAUGAUGCAAUAAUGCAUGACUUGUCUCAACUCCGUACUUGUGCUUGAGCUCGAUAUAACCAUUCUGUUUAGGGGUACAGGGAUAAGAGACACACUAAGAGAUACCAUUUUCUCUAAGAUAUUUGGCCACUGACUGAUAUUCCCCACCCCAAUCUGCUUGAAAUGUUUUAAUGGGAACCCUAAAAUAUUUUUCAAUAAGACUACAAAAUUUUAUGAACACGAGUAGAAAUUUAGAUUUCUUUUUAAAGGAAUAUAUCUAGCAUAUUUGUUGAAGCGGUCAUAAAAUAUAACAUAAUGUUUUUCACCAUGUACAGAGGUAAUAGGUGAAGGGCCCAAAACAUCAAAGCAAACUAACUGUAAAGGAGUAGUAACGACAAUAUUUGAAUAUGCAAAUGUUAGCUUAUGAAUUUUGCUAGCAUUACAAGCAUUGUAAGGAAGCAAGUCUGCAUUAUUAUUACUAAGAGGAAUUUUAUUAUUGGACAAAACAGAACGAAUAGUAUGAGAAUUAGCAUAAGCCAAUCGUGCAUGCCAAGUACUAAAAGUGACAUAAUGAACUUACGGACGAAUAGACUUGGUGGGUUGUAGAGAUAAAGCGUAAAGACCAUUUUCAUUCUGGUCUUAGCAUAAGGGUUGCCUCAUGCGGAUAUCCAUUGCCUAAAGCAGUUUCAUUGGUGCCAUGGUAAGGAGUGGCUUGAGAAAUAUUCUCUGGUUGUGCUGUGAUAUGGCAGUUAGCUCCAAAAUCAACUGUCCAGCUCUGAGAAGAUGAUCCAUUAGUGGAGGUAAGAUUAUAUGCAGGUUGGCGGGAGAAAUAGUUAGCGUUGUGCAUUUUGGGAGAAGGACAUCGUUUUGCAAUAUGACCUUGACCAUGACAGCUAUGGCAGAUGAUGUUUGGGUUGUUU